GGAAUCUUGGGCAAUGGGCGAAAGCCUGACCCAGCCACGCCGCGUGGAGGAAGACACCCCUAUGGGGCGUAAACUCCUUUUAUAUGAGAAGAAAACCUUCCUCGGGAAGGAUUGACGGUAUCAUAUGAAUAAGCACCGGCUAACUCUGUGCCAGCAGCCGCGGUAAUACGGAGGGUUCAAGCGUUGUCCGGCUCCACUGGGUGUAAAGGGUGUGUAGGCGGGGCGGUAAGUCAGAGGUGAAAGCCCACAGCUCAACUGUGGAAUUGCCUUUGAUACUGCCGUUCUUGAGUCUCGGAGAGGUCGCCGGAAUUCGUGGUGUAGCGGUGAAAUGCGUGGAUAUCACGAGGAACAUCAGAGGCGUAGGCGGGCGACUGGACGAGAACUGACGCUGAGGCACGAAAGCGUGGGGAGCAAAC
rnacentral:rRNA from 1 species